UACGGAGGGUGCAAGCGUUAUCCGGAUUUACUGGGUUUAAAGGGUGCGUAGGUGGGCCUGUUAGUCAGUGGUGAAAUCUUCAAGCUUAACUUGGAAACUGCCAUUGAUACUAUAGGUCUUGAAUUAUCUGGAGGUAAGCGGAAUAUGUCAUGUAGCGGUGAAAUGCUUAGAGAUGACAUAGAACACCCAUUGCGAAGGCAGCUUACUACGGAUUGAUUGACACUGAGGCACGAAAGCGUGGGGAUCAAACAGG
rnacentral:rRNA from 1 species